ensembl:snRNA U6 U6 spliceosomal RNA
GUGCUCACUUUGGCAGCACAUAUACUAAAAUUGGGAUGAUACAGAGAUUAAAAUGGCCCCUGUGCAAGGAUGAUAAGCAAAUUUAUAAAGCAUGCCAUUCUUAA